UCUUCCCUCUGGCGGCGUGCCUAAUACAUGCAAGUCGAGCGAACGGACGAUAAGCUUGCUUCUCUGAUGUUAGCGGCGGACGGGUGAGUAACACGUGGAUAACCUACCUAUAAUACUGGGAUAACUUCGGGAAACCGGAGCUUAUACCGGAUAAUAUUUUGAACCGCAUGGUUCAAAAGUGAAAGACGGUCUUGCUGUCACUUCUAGAUGGAUCCGCGCUGCAUUAGCUAGUUGGUAAGGUAACGGCUUACCAAGGCAACGAUGCAUAGCCGACCGGAGAGGGUGAUAGGCCACACUGGAACGGAGACACGGUCCAGACUACUACGGGAGGCAGCAGUAGGGAAUCUUCGGCAAUGGGCGAGAGCCUGACGGAGCGACGCCGAGUGAGUGAUGACGGCGUUCCGAUCGUAAUACUCUGUUAUGAGGGGAGAACAUAUGUGUACGUAACUGUGGAGAUCGUGACGGUACCUAAUAAGAAAGCAACGGCUAACUACGUG
rnacentral:rRNA from 1 species